UGGGGAAUCUUGCGCAAUGGGGGAAACCCUGACGCAGCGACGCCGCGUGCGGGAUGAAGGCCUUCGGGUUGUAAACCGCUUUCAGCAGGGACGAGGCCUUAUGGUGACGGUACCUGCAGAAGAAGCUCCGGCUAAAUACGUGCCAGCAGCCGCGGUAAUACGUAUGGAGCAAGCGUUAUCCGGAUUCAUUGGGCGUAAAGCGCUCGUAGGCGGUCUGUUAGGUCGGCAAGUUAAAUCCGGGGGCUCAACCCCCGUCCGCUUCCGAUACCGGCAGACUUGAGGUUGGUAGGGGAAGGUGGAAUUCCUAGUGUAGCGGUGGAAUGCGGAGAUAUUAGGAAGAACACCGGUGGCGGAGGCGGCCUUCUGGGCCAUAACUGACGCUGAGGAGCGAAAGCUAGGGGAGCGAACAGG
rnacentral:rRNA from 1 species